AUACGUAGGGGGCGAGCGUUGUCCGGAAUGAUUGGGCGUAAAGGGCGCGUAGGCGGCUUUGCAAGUCAGUAGUGGAAGUCCAUUUUUCAAGGAUGGAAGUGCUACAGAAACUGCGGAGCUUGAGUGCAGGAGAGGUUAUCGGAAUUCCCGGUGUAGCGGUGAAAUGCGUAGAGAUCGGGAGGAACACCAGUGGCGAAGGCGGGUAACUGGACUGCAACUGACGCUGAGGCGCGAAAGUGUGGGGAGCAAACAGGAUUAGAUACCCUGGUAGUCCACACUGUAAACGAUGAAUGCUAGGUGUAGGAGGUAUCGACCCCUUCUGUGCCGCAGUAAACACAGUAAGCAUUCCGCCUGGGGAGUACGGUCGCAAGAUUAAAGCUCAAAGGAAUUGACGGGG
rnacentral:rRNA from 1 species